UGAUAUAAUAAGCCGUACAAUAAUUUCUAAUGCCGUGAGUAGAUAUGGGUCAACUUUUAAUGUUCAAUACUGGCGCUCGGAGCUACCUGGCACGUCGUCCGUGGCCUAGUGCCUAUAAGUGUUAUCAAGGCCAUUGUCGUCCUUAAAGCAAAUUUGUUGUCCACUAUUCACCCAAUGAAAAACAAAUAAACAAAACAACAAAUAUACAUUUUUUUCGGCUGGUUUCGCAGUUAUGUUUGGUCAUCUGAGAAUUUAAACGUAACAACUUAUUGAAAAUAUUCAACGAUCUGUCGUAAAACUUGGAAUUUAUAAAUUGUAAGAUUUGCAAUAUUGUAACUUACUUUAAGUAAAUAUUGAAACCUACGGUUAAUUAGUCGAUGGUUUUUCUAAUCGGAAUUUCAUAAUCUCCGCGGUUUUUUUUGCAUGGUUCAACUUUUUAUCCAUGAUUACUACGAUUAUUCCUAUUAAGGUCCUUGGGCAUAGUAUUCAAAGUGCAAUAUGUCCAUGUUACUUUUCUGUAAUCUGUGAAACCAUAGAUCUCUAACUAAUAACUUUAAAAAACUUGAUGUACAAUUCAUGCGUAUAUAACUAUAUAAUUUCGAACGCGAAUUUAAUUCAUGUGUUUUGAAUAGUUUUUAAAACAUAAGUCCCCUGAUAAAACGUUAAAUCUUCUUGUUUAAGUUAUCACAUUUAUCGAUAAGAUUUCUAUAUUCUUCGAAAAUAUAACGGUGUUUACAGUCUUCUUAUUUUUACUGAAAAUGAUAAAAUAAGCCGUACAAUAAUUUCUAAUGCCGUGAGUAGAUAUGGGUCAACUUUUAAUGUUCAAUACUGGCGCUCGGAGCUACCU